GAUGAACGCUAGCUACAGGCUUAACACAUGCAAGCCGCGGGGCAGCAUGGGGGUUGCUUGCAAUCCCCGAUGGCGACCGGCGCACGGGUGAGUAACGCGUAUCCAACCUGCCCUUCACCACGGGAUAACCCGGCGAAAGUCGGACUAAUACCGUAUGUUGUCCAUUGACGGCAUCCGAUUUGGACGAAAGGCUUGGCGGUGAAGGAUGGGGAUGCGUCCGAUUAGCUGGACGGCGGGGUGACGGCCCACCGUGGCGACGAUCGGUAGGGGUUCUGAGAGGAAGGUCCCCCACACUGGAACUGAGACACGGUCCAGACUCCUACGGGAGGCAGCAGUGAGGAAUAUUGGUCAAUGGGCGUAAGCCUGAACCAGCCAAGUAGCGUGCAGGAGGACGGCCCUAUGGGUUGUAAACUGCUUUUAUGCGGGGAUAAAGUGGCCCACGUGUGGGUUUUUGCAGGUACCGCAUGAAUAAGGACCGGCUAAUUCCGUG
rnacentral:rRNA from 1 species